GUGAACGCUGGCGGUAGGCCUAACACAUGCAAGUCGAACGGCAGCACAGUAAGAGCUUGCUCUUACGGGUGGCGAGUGGCGGACGGGUGAGGAAUACAUCGGAAUCUACUUUUUCGUGGGGGAUCACGUAGGGAAACUUACGCUAAUACCGCAUACGACCUACGGGUGAAAGCAGGGGAUCUUCGGACCUUGCGCGAUUGAAUGAGCCGAUGUCGGAUUAGCUAGUUGGCGAGGUAAAGGCCCACCAAGGCGACGAUCCGUAGCUGGUCUGAGAGGAUGAUCAGCCACACUGGAACUGAGACACGGUCCAGACUCCUACGGGAGGCAGCAGUGGGGAAUAUUCGACAAUGGGCGCAAGCCUGAUCCAGCCAUACCGCGUGAGUGAAGAAGGCCUUCGGGUUGUAAAGCCCUUUUGUUGGGAAAGAAAAGCAGCAUGUUAAUACCCCGCUGUUCUGACGGUACCCAAAGAAUAAGCACCGGCUAACUUCGUG
rnacentral:rRNA from 1 species